AAGAUUUUAAAAAAAAAAAAUGUUAUAUAAUAGGUAUCGAAUAAAUUAUCGAAUUCUAUUAAACAACUUAAAUGUGUUAUUAUUCAAUCCUUUAUCUUGUAAAUACGUGACCUAAUGGAUAAGGCGUGAAGUUCUGUUUAAAUAAUAUAAGGUUUAAUUUCAGGUUUGAUGCAAAUUAAUUUGAAGCAUACUGAAACGGAAAGGGUAAAAUUAUAUUGUUUGAUAGAGAUGGUAAAUUAUGUGCGACUAUAUUUUUUUAUUAUUUGACACCGAAUAUAAUAUUUUUAUAAAUAUGCUAAUUAUUAUAAUGAGAUCACACCGUUCUAAAUCAAAUCAAAAUUAUGAUUAUUAUUUCAUAAGACGGAAAUAAUAUGUAGAUUAUUAUAAUGAGAUCACACCACUCUAAAUCAAACCUAAAUUAUAAUAAUUAUUAUUUCGAAAAGUACCGAGAGUAAAUGUGCCGUAUCAUAUCAUUCACCUCACACUGCUCAGCACAUAGACGACACACGGAAAUUUUUUAAUAUUUCAACUUUUCAAAGAACAUUGUAAGUAUAUAUCAUUAAACGUAAAAUAUAAAAUAGGUAGUUAUAAAUCUAAGUUAACUUUUUUUUUUUUUUUUUUUUUUUUUUACUUAUAUAAUAUCAACAGUUUUAUCGUAAACAUUGAACAACGGUCUCACAAACUUAUAAUAUAUCAUACCACAUCACGACGCUCAACACAAACACACACGGAAAAAGUUCAUUUUUUUUUCAAAUAUUUCAACUUCACAAAAUAUCAAUUAUGUCUUCAAUCGUUUCAAACAAUACACGGGAUAGAAAAAUCAACAAUAUUCUAGAAUCUUUAGAAUAUUAUCGUACUAACCCAGAAAUCACCUUUAGAUAUGUAGGAGAUUAUUACCCAUUUAUGGUAAAGGAUCAUAUAUUAAAUAUUUUAACCGAUCCACUUCGAAAUUAUACAUUAGUUGAACUGUGUAUACAAAAUGUAGGAACCCAAAAGUGGUGUAGCAGUGCAUGUUAUCAUGAUGAAAGAUCUGGCGGUUUUCAAACUUAUUACAAUUCUAUAUACCAGUUUGUUCGAUUUAAAGAUAUAGAAGCGUUUAAAGAUUAUUGUUAUUAUACAAAAUGUAUAUUAUGUGGUCGGUUUUUAACAAAAGGAGUUUGUUUAGAAAGUAACCCAUUCCCUGCUAGUAUUGACGUCGUACCUGUACCCGUAACAUAUUCAAGUUUUUUUGUUUUAGAUAUGAUGAGAAAUAUAUCUCAUCAUUAAAAUUUUAACUAACGAUAAAACAAUUUUUUCUAAGAUGUAUACAUUUUAAAACGUUAAUUAUAUUGUUAUUUAGUUUAUUGUAAAAACGCUGUUGAAUAAUGAUAGUAAAAUAAAUAUUAAAAUCGCUACUAUUCUUUUAACGAUAAACAAUUAUACACAGUUUAAAAUAACAUUUAUUAUUAUUAUUAUUAUUUUUUUUUUCCUUAAUCGAAACCAUAUUUAUC